rnacentral:misc_RNA from 1 species
GCGCGCAUUCUUGCAGGACUC